AAAAAUUCCAUGAAAAGAAUCCUCCAGUCUGCUCAGAAACAUGACCAGGACUGCGGAACAGGCGGUAGCAGGAAUAAUGCCGAAGGGCUCUCCUCCACGGGACUCACUGUCCUGACCAAUGUGCCUGCAGAGAACUCCCCACAAGACGAUGGAUCUUUCAGAAAAACUCCCAG